ACGAGAAUAAAUUGUGCGCAGGAAAUUUCGUAAAAUGUGUGCCUUACCAUUGAAAAUUUGUUGAGCUCUGCAAGGGUUUUUUACGCGGGCCCCAGAUGGUGUACCAUAGCGGGCGACAAGCUCUGACCCGUGCGGUGACGUGCCUCCCGCUCUCUGCUGGAGUUUCUCCAGAGAGUCCAGGUUCGUGUAACCUUUUGUAUUCUCUUUCUUAUUAUGGCGUGCUACAGCCACGCAUUUUAAUUACCUUCAUUUAGCCGUGUGCAAUCUUCAUUCUCCUCGUGGGUACGUGCAGCAGGGGUUCCGGUGGGUGUUUGUUUCCAUCUCGAGUGUUCGUUUUGAAUGCAUUCUUCCUCAUGGUAAUGCCAUUCCAGGGCGUGGGCGCGGGGCGACCCUUUUCCGUGGCCAGCUGCUACCGAUUGCUUCACCUGCGAGUUCUAGAAGGAACUGCCCCCUGCAUUUGGUGUGACUGGUUCCUGCAUAGCUGACGGACAGCAACAACCUCGUGGUUGAUCACGCAGUGUGCCCAUCAUCCCGGCAAGUAGAUAUUCUUUCCGCGUCACUGUGACAACGUGCGUACCACUCCCCCACAACACUAUACAGAGGAGGCGUACUUCGUCGAGGUGUUCGAGUGUUCACCAGUUAGCGCUACUGCCAAAAAAACAACGACAACCUGAGAGGCGACAACGAGGAUCCAGAUUCCGGCAGGUAUCUGGCUUCGGUUUUUGUGAGUUUCUCUGAGAGAUAUUUCAAGAGAAUGAGCGCGGUAGCCCACCUGGUUGCUUUCUGGACGACUGCUCGACGCAAUCCGAUAGCCUUCAUGGUAGCUGUCCUGAUGCUGCUAGUCGUGCUAAAGGUAUUUUUCUUCUUGUGUCCUGCAUACGAUCCCGAUCGCAGCCCCGUAGUGUGGAAUGAGAUACCUCUCUGACUCGUUGGGAGGGCGGUAGCAUUCAAAACGGGUUGGCGAAGGCUGGGAAUCAAGUCGGGCGGUUUUUCCGUGAUCUCCCGCCCCCCUGCUCCCCAUGGGAGCAUUCCUUGUUGCUUCUGCAGCUAUACAAUGGUGACGUUGAAAGCAUGAAUGCAAAGAAUGCAGCAUGUGAAUACUGUCGUCAGUGGCGUAGAGCCGGUUACCAUGCCUAACGAGCCCAUGCUUGAAACGUUCAUCCUGCACGGGGUGCGGAUUCCCCAGUCUCCUUUCAGGAGGCGUUGGUAUCCACCGCCUUAACAGUACGUCGUUGUUCCGGAUGACGCGUCUAGGUCAUGUGAACGUGUAUCAGAGGAUUCGGCGUGUGUGGGGAUUGACCCGUUGAAAUGUGUUAUCUUUUUGCGAAGAAAUACUAGCGCCUGACAGUACAGAAAAGAAUUCACAUGUUAACUUCUCUGUGGAAGGUGUUUGGUAAUGACGCGAUGUUUGCUCCCAUUGCUUAUUCGUCACGGUGAAGCCUUACUUCUUACAGAAUUCUCGUGUGGGUGUUCUCUAGACUCCAGGAUCCGAUUAUUUCUUCUCCCGGCUGAAAAAUAUUAUGUGCUCGGUAUGUUCGCACUCGAGUUAUCCUCAGCACUCUUACAAGAUGUCGGUAUCUUCCUUGCAAUGAAGAUGUAACGUCAGGAAAUUCGUUGAAAUGUACUUGCGACGACAGGCAACACACAGUGCAUAGUUCCCCGCAAGCCCGAAUGCUCCCUUCGCUGUUGACGUGCCAUCUGGUGCCCUAGUUCAGCGGUACCGCACCCGUGGAGACUGACUUACCUUGCAUUAGCGAUUAACUGGCUAGAAGUAACAGUACUACCACCCGUGGCUGUUUGUAGAUCACACUCAGUCACGUGGUGCCGUGAGGUGGGCCUCGUCUUGCACUAGGAAAGAGACCUCCAACAGGUGCUCACUCCAGUCAUCUUCGGAAAGCGGCUGUAUAUCAGCUGCUGGGAAGACUGCCUGCUCCUCAAAAAACGAACAACGGAGGUGCCAAACUCAGCAUCUCCCACCAGAGGCUCUCCUUGCGUCAGGGCCAGGGAGUUAGUUCCCGCGGCCUCCCCAAACUCGCUGCGGAAAAUUCAGGCAGCGCAGUGAGUGCACAUGCACAACCGGUUGUAGGUAAGCAGGUCCACUGGCGGCAGUUCCCUCUACAGAAACUAUGAGCUUGCGAAGAGGGAAUCCAUGUUCCUUUUCCGGUCAAGUUCCCUGUGUUCUGUGGCGCGGCCUGCCGUUCGAGCAACAGACUGAGCCGACGUCAAUGAGAGUGUGCAGCGUCUUGAUCGAUAAACCUUCCCCCGUUGUGAAGUGGUUCCGUGUCGAUCAGGUGGUAUACCGUCAAUAAGGGUGACGCAAACUGCUGCCUUCUCGUACCUAUGCUCAGCUACGCAAAAGCGUGCCUUCCUGGCGUGCUGGACGAACAACUCCAAAGUGUAGCUGUUCCCGCCGUUCUCAGUGACGAGCGACGCAUUAGUGCACCGCGAUGUCGUUCUCAUCAGCAAGUCUCCUCGUAGUUUCAGUUGCUUCACCACGACACGCAAAGCCCGUUAUCAAGCAACAUUGUGUGAAGACGCCUUCGCAUUAGUGACCGUCGUUCGGCUGAAUCGCCGGGAUGUGUACUACAACUGCGGGCCCCGGUAAUGCCACGCACUUCGCCAUCAGCAGUGAUUUGCAGCUC
rnacentral:lncRNA from 1 species